rnacentral:piRNA from 1 species
GGAAAGUGCAAAGCUGCUUAGAAGAGGGU